AAGGGGUGGAGCCUGGCUGCACCUCUCUUAGACCUCAUUUAAGGGCUGACUGCCACUGGGGAAGGAUAUCUUUCUGGAGAUCCCUUCUUUAUGGAGAUCUGCCUUUUCCCCCUGGGAGCUGAGAUGUUCAGAGAUGGAGAGGGAAAGGGAGAAAAUGGACUUCUUCAGUCAAAAAUGUACUCAGAACUUGGAAAAGUUGAUCCAGCGCUGCACUUGAGCAACUUUUAAUUGAGUCUGUUUAGUAGCAAGUCAUGUUCAUGAACAAAUGAAAAUCAGAAUUUGAAUUGGGACAAUAUCAAAUUGAAUUAGGUGAAGGUAAUGAUCUGGUUCUCAACUUACAUCAAUCAACUUAGCUUCAUCAGUUGAAGAAUGCGUGCCUGACCCACUUGCUGUUGUUAUUAGAGUUAUUCUACAACAAGAACAUUAAGCCAGUAAGAUGGAAAAGAACUGGCAGCUGGAACCACUGCUGAUCAUGAAGGCUCCAACAAGUCCAGAGAUCCUUCCUACAUACAGACAAAACUGUAAAAAGCAAACAAAAACUGCUUUUAUCACAAAAUGGAUCUCAAUUUUUGGCUGAGACUGCCUAUUUUUCUUGGUAAGCGCAGCUCUAGAUAUGCAGUGGUGCCAGAUGGGUAGCCUGACUUCAUUAAGGCAAGGAGAAAUUGGCAUGGACCUGCAUGUGCGUGACAUUAAAUUGACUGUUGUGGUGAAGGGAAGUUUCCAGCUUCAUAGUGAAUGCACCUGGUGUUUCAGUGCUGCAAGGCAAUCAGGUUAUCGAUGGGGGACAAAUUCUUACUUUUUCAACUAGUUUUCAAGAAGUGCACUUCUAACAAAAUCCAUUGUGGUUUUUUUUGUUGUUGUUGUUUGGUUGGUUGGUUUUUGCUGCUUUAGGCUUGUUUAUCACCACCUACAAUAAAUUCAUCUUGAGCAGUAGUGAACUUUGCUCCUUAAAGUGAUACAAUUUGAAAUUUACCUCUAACAUACUCUAUACUUGUCAGUAC
ensembl:lncRNA